UACGGAGGAGGCAAGCGUUAUCCGGAAUUAUUGGGCGUAAAGCGUCCGUAGGUGGCUAGUCAAGUCUGCGGUCAAAGACUGGGGCUUAACCCUGGAAAGGCCGUGGAAACUGACGAGCUAGAGUGCAGUAGGGGUAGAGGGAAUUCCCGGUGUAGCGGUGAAAUGCGUAGAGCUCGGGAGGAACAUCGGUGGCGAAAGCGCUCUACUGGACUGCAACUGACACUCAGGGACGAAAGCUAGGGGAGCGAAUGGG
rnacentral:rRNA from 1 species